rnacentral:rRNA from 1 species
UGGGGAAUAUUGACAAUGGGCGAAAGCCUGAUCCAGCCAUGCCGCGUGUGUGAAGAAGGUCUUCGGAUUGUAAAGCACUUUAAGUUGGGAGGAAGGGCAUUAACCUAAUACGUUAGUGUUUUGACGUUACCGACAGAAUAAGCACCGGCUAACUCUGUGCCAGCAGCCGCGGUAAUACAGAGGGUGCAAGCGUUAAUCAGAAUUACUGGGCGUAAAGCGCGCGUAGGUGGUUUGUUAAGUUGGAUGUGAAAUCCCCGGGCUCAACCUGGGAACUGCAUUCAAAACUGACUGACUAGAGUAUGGUAGAGGGUGGUGGAAUUUCCUGUGUAGCGGUGAAAUGCGUAGAUAUAGGAAGGAACACCAGUGGCGAAGGCGACCACCUGGACUAAUACUGACACUGAGGUGCGAAAGCGUGGGGAGCAAACA